CCUGGGGGUGGCGAGGGCGGGUGUCCAGCGCCAAUCGGGCCCUUGAACCCCCACCCCGCGGCCCGUCCUCCGUAUCCUAUUGUUGCCGGACACGGCCUGACGACGGGAGUCCGACAGCCCCGCCGGCCACUGCGCUAAUGACAGGGCUGCCUCGGGCGUCUGGGCCUUGGACUCUGCGUGGCCUCGGCUCGGCCCCCACUUCCUGCAGAGGUGCAGGCUCCGCCCGCCGCAGGGGGCAGGAAGGGGGGUCGCGCGGGGACCCUCCCCGGGCUGGGAAGGGGCAGGAAAGGGGCGGGGCGCGCGAAGAAUGUGCGGAAGCGCCUGUUUACCCGGGGGCGGGGCAGACUCCGCAGCCCUGCCCCUGGUCUCCCCCCAAAGUGGACCAGGAGCUCCGCGCCCGCACCCAGUAAGGCCGCUGGAGGUCACCUGGCGGGGCGGGGUGCACGCUUUGAGCCCAGCGGAGCUGCCCGACAGGCCCGGCCGGCGCGGGUUUGGCUCCUGCGACCCGCCCGCUCCGGCUCCCCGCUCCCCAGCCACGGGAACACCCCAGCCUUAUCACCUGGCUCCGGAAGGCCCCUUUCCUCAAUCACAACCACACUGACUACAACCUUCAGACUCUCCGUCACCCCCACCUCACCUGCUUCUACCUGAGACCUCUGGGGCUCUCAGCUGAUUUAUUCAACUAUUCACUGAAUGACAACCCUGGGCACUGCCCCCGACCCAGGGAAGAGGGCCCACAUGACUCCAGCAUGUGCCAGUAACUGGAGAUAUAGCCGGAAUUGCACAGACACCACCCUGCACAGAGCUCACAAUCCGCCUCUGCUUUCUUUCCCUCUGCCAGCUCCCUCCUACCUUCUCUUCCCUACCUUCCCUGCACACCCUUCUCCCAGCCUGAAUCCACAGCCAUGACUCGUCACUCGCCUGCUGCUAAUAUCUCCAGCACUCUGUGCUUCUUCCUACCUGGCAGAAACCAACCCUGGACAACCUGACUCCCUGACUUCUCUGCACCUGCACACAGGCUGGCAGGAGCUGCCAGAGGCCUUGGCCCAGCAGCUGAGCUGGAACUACAGAGCAAUUCUCAACCUCGGCCGGGCUCUCAUUUCCCGCUGGAGAAAUCCUAGUCAACUCUCUCCCUUCUCAUAGGAGAGUUUCAGACGUUCUCCACAGGCCUCAAACAAAUGCAAGUCACUCCCACAUAAAAAAUGAAAACAACCCUGGCAACUACCCAAAUGGCCAUCAGUUGAUAACGGAAUGCUCUACAACAAAAAGAAUAAACUACAUGCAACAAUAUGGAUGAAUCUUACAGAUAUGAUGUGAUGCUGAGUGAAAGAAGCAAGACCACAAGAGAAGAUAUAGAUAUGAUUCCUCUGAUGCGAAGUUCAGAAAUGGGCCAAACUCAUCUAUGGUUAUAGAAAUCAGAAUAGUAGUUACCCUUGAGAAUAGUAGUUACCCUUGAGGGCUUCCAGGGAGGUGCUGAUGUUCAAUUUCCUAAUCUGGGUUCUAUUUCCUAAUCCUAUGUAGUUGUGUUCCCUUGUGAAAAUGUAUCGAGCUGUACCACUGAAUGUGUCCGUUCUGUAUGCAUAUUAUAUUUCAAAUCAAGCUGACUUUAAAUAAAUAACUACACAAAGAAAUGA